rnacentral:rRNA from 1 species
GAAAUGAUGAAUGUCAUAGAUUAGAUUUAUUUUGAUCUGUAAAUAAAAGUGUAAGCAUUCCACCUCAAGAGUAAUUUGGCAACAUUGGAACUGAAAUCAUUAGACCGUUUCUGAAACCAGUAGUGAAGGAUGUUGUUUAAUUUGAUAAUCCGCAAAAAACCUUACCACAAUUUGAAUAGAUAUAUUUUAUCAUACAAGCGUUGCACGGCUGUCUUCAGUUAAUGGCGUGAGACUUUGGUUAGUUCCAUUAAAUUAACGUAAACCCUUACUUUAUUUUUAUAUAAAG